CCAGUUUACAUGUACACAUUCAAAGACUUUGACCGUUAGUGGAGUGACUCUGGGCGUGGGUGCUAACACUUAGUAUUAUGGUAAACCUACCGAACAAUGGAUAAGGAGGAUCACCUCGUCCUAGGAUCCAGUCACCUUUUACUCAGAAACCUAAAACAUGAAGUUUAAAAACUUGAGUAUAAACUCAGUGAGUGAACAUAAGAAGGGAACAAACAAGCAGUAUGGAAAGAUUAGAAAACAUGAUACAUUUAUUUUAAAAACAAUGCAAUUUAGUUUAAUUCUUAUUGAAACCCCUCAUUUAAACCCUUAGUUGUUUAAUCACUUGAUGAUGAAGAAUCCAUGAACAAAAAAGAAUUUGAAGAGUGAAAACUUUAGUAGCAUUCAAGCAAGUCAAUUGAAAUGGAUUGAUCCUUGCCACAGCAAAAAGGCAUUCUUGCUGUAGUGAAGCUACAACGAGAAUGAAUUUUUGCUGCAGCGAAAUUAGAUCACAAAUCAUCAGCUGAUCGAGGGUUUCUCGCUAUAGCAAAAUUCUGGCAGGGGUUUGGAAUGCACCCACCCGAGGGUUUCUCGCUACAACGAGAAUUCAUUUCCGCUGCAGUGAGAAUCCAUUUUCACUGUAGUGAGAUUUAGGGUAGAUAAAAAUAAAAAGGUUUUUACAUGCCACAAAAAUCCAUUCCUGCCGUAUUAAACAUCAAAUUGAACACAUUAACAAAUAUCAAGCUUUCUCAAUAUUCAAUGCAAUCACAUAUUAUUUUCAUAACCUUUUCUAUAGCAUAUAAAAACAUAUUCAUAGCAUAUAUAUAUAUACAAACAUGUAUACAACCACCACCUCACCCAGCUCAUGUGCACUACGCACAGCACAUAGUCGAAGUCAUAGUGUGCACCCCCACAUCGCGCACAACUAAUGCCAUCAUGUGUUCCCCCCACAUCGCGCACAUGGCAUAUAUCAUCAUUAUCGUGUGCACCCCCACAUCGCUCACAACUAAUGCCCUCAUGUUCUCCCCGCACAUCACGCACUUAGGCAUCUCAUCAUCCACACUCUCGCACCCCGUCAUCACGGGCAUGUGAAACCCCCACAUCGGUCACAUGGACAGUUAUAAUUAUAACACCAUAUUAACUAUCAAUACACAACAUAUAUAUCAGCAUAAUAUGGGAGCACAAGGAUUCAUCAUCUUACACAUUCACAACAUACAACAUUUCAUCAAGGGCUUGUUCCCAUGCAAGUUUUAAGAAAAACUAGUAAAAUGUUUCAAGUGGUUCAAUCAAGCAUAUAAUCAUUUAUUCCAAAACAUUUUAAUGCAAGUUCACUCAUCGAUCUUUGUUGAUGUUUUGAUCGACUCUAACUUCGAUCAAUGCUCCGAAUGGAGAUGUGGGAUCUCAUUGGAACCUAUCACACCCAAUAGCAUCUCCAUCAGCCAAAUUGGCAUUAAUAUAAUUCCAAAAGCUAUUUCCUAACUCAAGUUCAGCUAGUUAUUCCUAACUAGCUUCCAAUCACCAUUAAAUGGCUAUUUAUUUCACUACUCUAGUCACCCUAAAAAUGAAUAAACAACCUCAACAAUAAAACACUAACAAAUCCCAUUGUUUGCCAUUGUCAACAUCUUAAAAAUGAACUCAAUUUCAUUACUCACCUUGGUAGCUUUGUAAUUGAACUCCUUCUCAAAAUUUCUUAAGCUAUUAUAGAAAGUCUCUCAUUCUCUCUCGAAAACACCUAGUUAGUGAGAGAAAGGGUUACGGUAAGACUUUUGAGGGUUUUUGAAGUGUAGAAGUGAAAAAGCAUGAAAAAUCCUAUGGCAAGGUAUAUAAAAACAUAAGUUUUGGGGUUACCAUGAGAAAAUUUUUGGAGGUUUCAAA
rnacentral:lncRNA from 1 species